rnacentral:rRNA from 1 species
AACGAACGCUGGCGGCAUGCCUAACACAUGCAAGUCGAACGAUCCCUUCGGGGAUAGUGGCGCACGGGUGCGUAACGCGUGGGAACCUGCCCUUAGGUUCGGAAUAACUCAGAGAAAUUUGAGCUAAUACCGGAUAAUGUCUUCGGACCAAAGAUUUAUCGCCUUUGGAUGGGCCCGCGUUGGAUUAGCUAGUUGGUGGGGUAAAGGCCUACCAAGGCGACGAUCCAUAGCUGGUCUGAGAGGAUGAUCAGCCACACUGGGACUGGGACACGGCCCAGACUCCUACGGGAGGCAGCAGUGGGGAAUAUUGGACAAUGGGCGAAAGCCUGAUCCAGCAAUGCCGCGUGAGUGAUGAAGGCCUUAGGGUUGUAAAGCUCUUUUACCCGGGAUGAUAAUGACAGUACCGGGAGAAUAAGCCCCGGCUAACUCCGUG